rfam:Myotis lucifugus cont2.7751, whole genome shotgun sequence.
CUCGGGGGAGGGGGGGUCCCUCGGCCCAGAUUGCAAGAGGGCAUAGGCCAGGCCGAGGAACCCUACAGGUGCACA